rnacentral:rRNA from 1 species
GAUCAGUGGCUACGAGGACGACGCUGGCGGCGUGCUUAACACAUGCAAGUCGAACGGUAAGGCCCUUCGGGGUACACGAGUGGCGAACGGGUGAGUAACACGUGGGUGAUCUGCCCUGCACUUCGGGAUAAGCCUGGGAAACUGGGUCUAAUACCGGAUAGGACUCCUGGCUUCAUGGUUGGGGGUGUAAAGCUUUUGCGGUGUGGGAUGGGCCCGCGGCCUAUCAGCUUGUUGGUGGGGUAAUGGCCUACCAAGGCGACGACGGGUAGCCGGCCUGAGAGGGUGACCGGCCACACUGGGACUGAGAUACGGCCCAGACUCCUACGGGAGGCAGCAGUGGGGAAUAUUGCACAAUGGGCGCAAGCCUGAUGCAGCGACGCCGCGUGAGGGAUGACGGCCUUCGGGUUGUAAACCUCUUUCAAUAGGGACGAAGCGCAAGUGACGGUACCUAUAGAAGAAGGACCGGCCAACUACGUG